GAGUGAAGCGGCAAGAGCUCAGAUUUGAAAUCGUGUUUCGGCACGAGUUGUAAAUUGCAGGUUGGAGUCUUUGUGGAAGUGCGUGUCCAAGUCCCUUGGAACAGGGCGCCAGUGAGGGUGAGAGCCCCGUGGGAUGCGCAUUGAAGCUUUAAGGCCCUUCUGACGAGUCGAGUUGUUUGGGAAUGCAGCUCUAAGCGGGUGGUAAAUUCCAUCUAAGGCUAAAUAUUGGCGAGAGACCGAUAGCGAACAAGUACUGUGAAGGAAAGAUGAAAAGCACUUUGAAAAGAGAGUGAAACAGCACGUGAAAUUGUUGAAAGGGAAGGGUAUUGGGUCCGACAUGGGGACUGCGCAUCGUUGCUUCUUGUAGGCGGCGCUCUGUGCUCUCUCUGGGCCAGCAUCGGUUUUUGCCGCAGGAUAAGGGGCGUUGGAACGUGGCUCCUCGGAGUGUUAUAGCCAACGCCAGAUGCUGCGAGCGGGGACCGAGGGCUGCGACAUUUGUCUCGGAUGCUGGCAUAACGGCUCAAUACC
rnacentral:rRNA from 1 species